UCCUACUAUUAAUAUUAGUAUACAAAAAUUCAAUUUUUUUUCCUUGUAAGUGGUUGACUCAGAGUUUCGGGGAAAAGAAAUCCGUCUUACUUGUAUUUUUUUCAGUUUUGGAAUUUAUAAAGGGAUUGUGAAUUGGUUGAUUCCGGGAAUUUGCGUAUAGUUUUUACAUAUUUAAGUUUGGUGGAAGUCAGUUGGUUUUUGUUGAAUAGCGUGUAAGGCUGGGUGUGGACCUAAGACUUGUUUUGAUACUGAGUAAUAACCUUAUCUUCU
rnacentral:lncRNA from 1 species